rnacentral:rRNA from 1 species
GAUGAACGCUGGCGGCGUGCCUAAUACAUGCAAGUCGAGCGAACAGACGAGGAGCUUGCUCCUCUGACGUUAGCGGCGGACGGGUGAGUAACACGUGGAUAACCUACCUAUAAGACUGGGAUAACUUCGGGAAACCGGAGCUAAUACCGGAUAAUAUAUUGAACCGCAUGGUUCAAUAGUGAAAGACGGUUUUGCUGUCACUUAUAGAUGGAUCCGCGCCGCAUUAGCUAGUUGGUAAGGUAACGGCUUACCAAGGCAACGAUGCGUAGCCGACCUGAGAGGGUGAUCGGCCACACUGGAACUGAGACACGGUCCAGACUCCUACGGGAGGCAGCAGUAGGGAAUCUUCCGCAAAGGGCGAAAGCUUGACGGAGCAACGCCGCGUGAGUGAUGAAGGUCUUCGGACCGUAAAACUCUGUUAUUAGGGAAGAACAAAUGUGUAAGUAACUAUGCACGUCUUGACGGUACCUAAUCAGAAAGCCACGGCUAACUACGUG